AAUUAAAUAAGUAUGUGAUUACAUCAUGACAUCAUGAAGGAGGCUACUGAUUCUGGCCCUGUGACACUUGGUGGUGACGUGUGAGCUGAUUCACCUGGUAAAUAACUUUUACAUUAAAUAUGUUGUUCUUUGCUAUCAAAAGUAAAUUAACUAAUAACCUGCAUUAUUGCAGGACACUCAGCAAAAUAUGGACUCUACACCAUGAGGCAGGCACACGUUAAUAUUCUAUAAGAGCACAUAAGCAUGAGGAUGUCCUCACACACCUGUAACCUAUCAGCUCAUCUGGCAGAAUAGAGAGAGAAGAGACAACACCACAUCUCCUGUUCCUGGAAAGCCUUCAGCCAUCCUUCGAUGACUGAGAAUCUCCAUCAGCUCUGUCUCCUGUCUGCCUACAAUUAUUAUAAUAAAUAUUGUGUUUGACAAGUUU